ACGGAGGAUCCAAGCGUUAUCCGGAUUCAUUGGGUUUAAAGGGUGCGCAGGCGGAAUGAUAAGUCAGUGGUGAAAUCCUACAGCUCAACUGUAGAACUGCCAUUGAUACUGUCGUUCUUGAGUACACUUGGAGUGGGCGGAAUGUGUCAUGUAGCGGUGAAAUGCUUAGAUAUGACACAGAACACCGAUCGCGAAGGCAGCUCACUAAAUUGUAACUGACGCUCAGGCACGAAAGCGUGGGGAUCAAACAGGAUUAGAUACCCUGGUAGUCCACGCCGUAAACGAUGAUCACUCGAUGUUGGCGAUAUACUGUCAGCGUCUAAGCGAAAGCAUUAAGUGAUCCACCUGGGGAGUACGAUCGCAAGAUUG
rnacentral:rRNA from 1 species